CCUACGGGUGGCAGCAGUGGGGAAUAUUGGACAAUGGGGGGAACCCUGAUCCAGCGACGCCGCGUGAGUGAAGAAGUAUUUCGGUAUGUAAAGCUCUAUCAGCAGGGAAGAAAGAAAUGACGGUACCUGACUAAGAAGCCCCGGCUAACUCCGUGCCAGCAGCCGCGGUAAUACGUAGGGGGCAAGCGUUAUCCGGAUUUACUGGGUGUAAAGGGGGCGUAGACGGCGAUGCAAGUCUGAAGUGAAAGGCGGGGGCCCAACCUCCGGACUGCUUUGGAAACUGUAUGGCUGGAGUGCAGGAGAGGUAAGUGGAAUUCCUAGUGUAGCAGUGAAAUGCGUAGAGAUUAGGAGGAACACCAGUGGCGAAGGCGGCUUACUGGACCGUAACUGACGUUGAGGCUCGAAAGCGUGGGGAGCAAACAGGAUUAGAUACCCGUGUAGUC
rnacentral:rRNA from 1 species